GACGAACGCUGGCGGCGUGCUUAACACAUGCAAGUCGGGCGGUAAGGCCUUUCGGGGUACACGAGCGGCGAACGGGUGAGUAACACGUGGGUGAUCUGCCCUGCACUUCGGGAUAAGCCUGGGAAACUGGGUCUAAUACCGGAUAUGACCUCCUAUCGCAUGGUGGGUGGUGGAAAGAUUUAUCGGUGCAGGAUGGGCCCGCGGCCUAUCAGCUUGUUGGUGGGGUAAUGGCCUACCAAGGCGACGACGGGUAGCCGACCUGAGAGGGUGACCGGCCACACUGGGACUGAGACACGGCCCAGACUCCUACGGGAGGCAGCAGUGGGGAAUAUUGCACAAUGGGCGAAAGCCUGAUGCAGCGACGCCGCGUGAGGGAUGACGGCCUUCGGGUUGUAAACCUCUUUCAGCAGGGACGAAGCGCAAGUGACGGUACCUGCAGAAGAAGCACCGGCUAACUACGUG
rnacentral:rRNA from 1 species